rnacentral:snRNA from 1 species
AUCGCUUCUCGGCCUUUUGGCUAAGAUCAAGUGUAGAGCAGUUUUUCAUGUCUCUUACUUUUUUGUUAUUUUUUAAUCUCCAUUUUCCCCUCAGUAUUGGAAUGUGGACAUCUGUAGGAUGUAGGUCACCAGUU